AACGUGGGUAACCUGCCCAUCAGAGGGGGAUAACAUUCGGAAACGGAUGCUAAAACCGCAUAGGUCCUUUAACCGCAUGGUUGAAGGAGGAGAAGAGGCGCAAGCUUCUGCUGAUGGAUGGACCCGCGGUGCAUUAGCUAGUUGGUGAGGUAACGGCUCACCAAGGCCGUGAUGCAUAGCCGACCUGAGAGGGUGAUCGGCCACAUUGGGACUGAGACACGGCCCAA
rnacentral:rRNA from 1 species